rnacentral:rRNA from 1 species
AUUCCAGACUCCUACGGGAGGCAGCAGUCGGGAAUAUUGCGCAAUGGAGGAAACUCUGACGCAGUGACGCCGCGUAUAGGAAGAAGGUUUUCGGAUUGUAAACUAUUGUCGUUAGGGAAGAUAAAAGACAGUACCUAAGGAGGAAGCUCCGGCUAACUCCGUGCCAGCAGCCGCGGUAAUACGGAGGAUGCGAGCGUUAUCCGGAUUUAUUGGGUUUAAAGGGUGCGCAGGCGGGCUGUUAAGCCGGCGGUAAAAAUUCAGGGCUCAACCCUGUCGAGCCGUCGGAACUGGCAGUCUUGAGUGGGCGAGAAGUAUGCGGAAUGCGUGGUGUAGCGGUGAAAUGCAUAGAUAUCACGCAGAACGCCGAUUGCGAAGGCAGCAUACCGGCGCCCAACUGACGCUGAGGCACGAAAGCGUGGGGAUCGAACAGGAUUAGAUACCCCAGUA